rnacentral:rRNA from 1 species
UACGAAGGGGGCUAGCGUUGUUCGGAAUUACUGGGCGUAAAGCGCACGUAGGCGGAUUGUUAAGUCAGGGGUGAAAUCCCGGGGCUCAACCCCGGAACUGCCUUUGAUACUGGCAUUCUCGAGUCCGGAAGAGGUGAGUGGAAUUCCGAGUGUAGAGGUGAAAUUCGUAGAUAUUCGGAGGAACACCAGUGGCGAAGGCGGCUCACUGGUCCGGAACUGACGCUGAGGUGCGAAAGCGUGGGGAGCAAACAGG